UCCCUGAUAGCUCAGUUGGUAGAGCGUUCGACUGUUAAUCGAAUGGUCGCAGGUUCGAGUCCUGCUCAGGGAG
rfam:Xanthobacter autotrophicus Py2, complete genome.